AUCAAUAUGAAAGACCGUUUUAUGAGACCAAGCAUCACUCUUGAUAAGAAGAAGUCGUCAUCGAAACCUUGGAUGAAUUUGAAAAGGUCGUCAAAAUGUUAGAAUCACGGUUAUGUUUCAGCAGCAAUACUUUGUCAUGUCGUUGUUCGUCACCACCGCCGUCCCUACCACAGAAACCAGAGUGGGCGUGUCUUAUAAACGAAGACGCAAAAUUUCCUCCCUGGAUGUGGGGAAUAAUCUGUGUGGUAAUAGUCGGUGUCAUUCUACUUAUCAUCAUUGUAUACAAACAAGUGAGAAAGAAAAAAUUGCAACCGAUCAGCGACCAAGAAAGUGAGAUGCAACCGAAAUGUGAGAAUACAGAAUCUACUCGUAACCUUGUUAACGGGAAUUUGUCAACUGGACAUGCAAAUUGAGGAGCAGAACAGAUAGACUGAGGGAGAGAGAUGG